ACUGUCUGAGAAUGCCUGUACCCUGAAGGACUGCCAGGAACCUAGAGGAGAGCUUUUUCCACGGUACUGAAGGUGCAUUUGGAUGUGACACCUGAGAGGCGUAGAUGAUGUUUCCAUACGCUGGCCGCUGGAAUCAAAGCCUGGGGAUUGCCAUCACGGCAGAAACGCAAACAGAGCUUGAGUCCAUCAUUCUGCUAAUGGCUCUUCCAGGCGCAGUUUCUUAAUCAGAUGUGAACACAAUCAAAGAGGCACUUCCCAGCCUUGUGUAAUGGACAGCCAUUUACCCAGAAAGUGCAGCUGAAAAAUGAAAGGGUGAAUUGAUGUUCCCUCCUGUUUGUUGAUCAGACGGAGAGUCUGUUGAAGACAUCAAGAUGAGUCUGAUAAACGCAUUUUGUCAGCUCUGCGAAGAAAGGCAGCCCGCUUACUCUGUUUUCCCACUGUCUUUGUAUUUCUUGGUAACUUUGUAGGUUUACAAAAAUCCAUCUUCCAGGAGAGACAUCUUCCGGGAGAGACAACACGCAUCUGCUGUGUGUUAUCUUUCAUGACCACGAAACCAAAUCCAUAGUUCUUAUCCGCUACAGCUGCUGGGAUUGCUCCGAGGUAUUUUAUAAUUGGAUUGGAAACGAAGUUAGAGAUUCCCUUGACCUGCUGUACCGAAGGCUAAUG